rnacentral:lncRNA from 1 species
UUACAGCUUUGUUCUACUUUAUUUCAUUGACAGAGCCCAGUCAUCAAUGGUGACCUUAUCAGCAUGGGAUAUGAUAAUAAACCAUUACACCCUGGCAGAUCUGGUCCCUAAAAGGAGAGUUGUAAAUGCAGUUGGUUAAAUGAAAGAACACCCAGAAACUUCUACUGAUAUCAACCAUGUUUAUAUUUGGAACAGAAUAUUGAACUGUAAACCAAAAAGAUGCCUGUGUUAUGACCUUACUAUCACUGAUCAUACUUAGGAUUGUGUUUAUAAGUUUUGCUGCAAAUCUACACAGACUGAUGCCAGUCCUGAAAUUACAGACCAUGAUAUGAAUGAAAAUAUUUAAACAAUUUACAUCAGCUUAUCAAAAAGAAGUACUGUACUGUACAUUAUUUAGGGAAUUUAAACAAGCGAAGUGUCUUGUCCAAGAACCCAGGCAAUGUACACAGCAUGUGUCCUUGUACAAGACACUAGAUCUUGGCUUGUAUCUAUCUCUCUCUCUCUAUCCAGGUGUAUAAAGCAAUAUAAAUGAUGUUCUUAUAGUAAAACAAUGUUAAUAUAAUAAUAAAGUGUCUUUUCAUGCUGUCGAUA